rnacentral:rRNA from 1 species
AUGACCUUAUCCUCGAUGACAUCAGCAGGUUGUUUCCCAGCAACAACAUCCGCAAAUGCAGUACUUACGUCAGCAGCAACAUCUUCAGUCUCAGAUACAACACCAGCAUCCACAAGUGCAGCAGCAAUUGUACCCACAACUUCAGGUUUAUCAUCAGCCUCAUCCGGCUGCACAACCUCAGAAUCCUCUACUACAUGUGGUAGCAGGUCAUCAAUCAUAUUCGAAGCCGCAGGCCAUCACCAACAGUUAGCUGGUUCUCAGCAUCCUGCACUUGUACACCCUCCGCAGGGUCAACUUCCAUUGAACGGCCAACAGCCAGCCAUGCUUACUCCUCAAGGUCAAUCAUACCAACACGGAAUGCGCUCAUCACAACAACAAAUGCAUUCUCAACCUUUCCAAUCCCAUGGUCCACAAUAUAUGCAGCAACAGCUUAUUCCAACUUCGACUAGCAGGUCUAUGAGCUAUGUUGCAACACCGCAUAGUUCCAGGAAUCAGGAAAGUCAAAAAGUUCAGCCAAUGCUACUGGCAAUACUGAAGUAG